rnacentral:rRNA from 1 species
UACGUAGGGUGCGAGCGUUGUCCGGAAUUAUUGGGCGUAAAGAGCUCGUAGGCGGUUCGUCGCGUCGGCUGUGAAAACCCGGAGCUCAACUCCGGGCCUGCAGUCGAUACGGGCGGACUCGAGUUCGGCAGGGGAGACUGGAAUUCCUGGUGUAGCGGUGAAAUGCGCAGAUAUCAGGAGGAACACCGGUGGCGAAGGCGGGUCUCUGGGCUGAUACUGACGCUGAGGAGCGAAAGCGUGGGGAGCGAACAGG